CAGCUCCUCAGAGCGUUUGGUAAGGCCCUUGGUCUUACAUUCUGGAGGCACUGCUGGGAUCCCUGGGUGUGCUUCACUACAGUCAGCUCCUCAGAGCGUUUGGUAAGGCCCCAGGUCUUACAUUUUGGAGGCCCCAGCGAGAUCCCGGGUAAGGAACCCCAGUUCAGCUGAGACUCUGUGGUGGGAUCCAGCAGGAGACUCAGGCACAGGCCUCAGAAAACCUCCGGAGGUGACUAUUCUUCAGUAUGUCAAUGACCUCUUGGUGGUGACUUCAACCAAUAAAGAAUGCAUUGCAGCCACCAAGGGCCUCCUGAAAGCCCUCCAGGAACUGGGAUAUCAGGUGUCCUGGAAGAAAGCUCAACUCUGCCAGACCAAGGUAACCUACUUGGGCUAUAUUCUUGAAAAGGGAAAGUGAAGGCUGGCAGAAUUGAGAGUAUCUGCAAUUCUCCAGAUUCUGAAGCCAGGCUCAAAGAAACAGGUGUGAGAGUUCCUAGGGGUGGUUGGCUAUUGCAGGAUUUGGAUUCCUGGCUUUGCUGAGAUUGCCAAACCCCUGCAUGAGGCCACUGUGGGAGGAAAUACACCUCUCGAAUGGACUGAGGCUUGCCAGCAGGCAUUUCAAUUGCUUAAGACUGCACUUGCACCAGCACCAGCCCUGGCAUUGCCAGACUUAAACAAGCCCUUUACCCUGUAUGUGACAGAGAAAAAUGGGGUAACUAAGGGAGUGAUUACUCAGCUUUUGGGGCCAUAGAAGUGUUCUGUGGCAUGCCUCUCAAAGAAGCUCAACCCAGUGGCCCGAGGGUGGCUUACUUGUUUGAGGACAGUAGCAGCAGCAGCUCCUUUAACCCAAGAGGCUGACAAAUUGACCUUUGGAUAGGAUUUGACUUUGAUUACUCCCCAUGCCAUUGAGCCCUUAGGCUCUGGAAUUGGAAAAAAAAAAAGGAUAAAUAUAUUCACUGAUAGCCGUUAUGCUUUUGCCACUGCCCAUGUACAUGGGGAAAUUUAUCAAAAUAGAGGACUGUUGACCUCUGAAGGAAAGGAAAUCAAAAAUAAGACAGAUAUUGGCAUUGCUACAAACAAUCUGGUUGCCUCGAGAGGUCGCCAUCAUCCAUUGCCGUGGGCACCAGAAGGGGCUUAGCCCCGAGAUGAUUGGUAAUAAUGCUGCUGACCAGGUGGCAAAACAAGCUGCCCAAAAAUCAGUGGGGAGGCAAAUGGUUCUGCUUCCCAUGCAGGUACUCACAGAAAAACCUGAAUACACAGAUAAAGUAGCGGAAAUGAACAGGAGACGCUGGACUUGAGGAAAACAUGGAUGGUGGACGACUAAGGAUGGAAAGGUGAUGCUCCCAGCUGCUGUAGCAGACACGUUGCUGCUAGAACUACAUGAGUCCACCCACCUCAGCGAGAAAAGGAUGAUGGCUGCCCUGCAACCUCAUUUCGUCAGUGAGGGAUUAGCCCAAAAGGCCCAGGACAUGGUGAGACGAUGCCCCACCUGCCUCAAGGUUUGAUUCCAAGACCCUGGAACCUUGUUAAAAGGGACUGGUUCCUGUUGUCCUGUCAACUCCCUUGGCGGUAAAAGUGGCUGGACAUUCUGCCUGGAUACAUUGCAACUAUCUAAAAACAGGACCCCCCAUGGACAUCAAAAAGGACAAGUGAAAGGUUAUCAGCCAACCAGGCAACCAAAAGCUAAGACUGGAACAGGUUGGAAAUGUUUCAUCUUAAUGAUAAUAUUUUCUGGGACACUAGCAGUAUUGCCCCCAAGAGGACUAGAUCACACAAAAAAUGUAUGGAUUCAAUUGGCAAACUCACUUAACUUCUCUGAAUUCUGCUUAAAUGUUGAUGUAAAUUUCCAUUAUAUGCUGGAAAGCUGUCUUAUUCCGGUAUACACCUCUUUAAAAUUAAUACGACCCUAUACCCUAUUUAAGGACAUCCCAGGAAAAAAAAUCUUACUUACAUGGAUAGUUAUAAUUGGGGACAUGACACCUGCAGUAAACCUAAAAAUGCUGUCAAAUUAUAUACACCCAAGGUAAUUAUGUCAAACAAAACUAAAUGUGCUAUGUAUAAAAAUUGUACAACCAAAUGUCUGAGGAUAAAAUGGUCAGAAGGGAUGUCCUGCCAUAUAAAACAAAAAAUUGUGUGUAACAAUUGCCAUAUCUCACUGCCCACAGGAUGGUUUUAUACCUAUGAAGAAAUAACCUUUAAUUAUAUUCCAGCAAAUUUAACCAAGACCCGCUGCUGUUUGAGUCGUCUAGCUGUAGUGUUGCCGGACAGAACUGAUUUGAUUGUGCCUAACAGAACUAAACGUUGGCCACCUUACACUGCACCAGGAUGCAAUGAUGAUGUAGGUCUGUUAACAGAUGCUAAAGUAAUAACCAUGAUAGCAUCUUUUGUUGCCCUGCCUUCUAUAGGAGUCCAUGCUAAAAAGACAGUACAAAAAUUAGCUUGCAAGGUGGUCAAAGGGUUAAAUGCUACCUCAUCAGCCUUGGCAUUAAUUAACCAAGAGUUACAGGAUCAGAGACAGGCAAUCUUAGAUAAUAGAACAACAAUAGACUAUUUGUUGCUCCUCUACCACCAAGGUUGUGAAAGAGUAAAAAAUAUGUGUUGUUUCAAUCUUACCGAUAAUGGUCCAAAGAUCAAAAAAAA